GCAUGCAGGUGAGAAGGGAAGAUACGUGUAAUCUGCACGUCUGCCACCAUUCCUUGUUACUCCUUUUUCGUAUCCCAUGAGCACAGCACUCCAGCGGACCUACCCAAAAUAUAUAGGAGUUCAGUGAAACUCAAAUGAAACAACUAGGAGUUGAAGAGUUGCCCACACAGAGUCAAUGGAAAAGAGGAGAGAGAACUCAGCUCCCUAUGCGAGGCUUGUGGGGCAGGAAGGCUUCUUAUGAGACAGAGCUGCAUCCUUCCUUCUGCGAGAGCAAGACUGAACCUAUGUUUGCAGCAGACUUAAGGAGAGUGGCCCUCAGAGGGGCCAGAGCAAGCACACUUCUGGUCAGCCUAUACAGUUUCUGUCCUGGUGAGGAGCAUGGUUACCAACAGGCAAGAUCUUCUGGCCUUGAAGUUUCACUUGAGUUAAAAGAGCUCAUCUCAGGACUUUCUGAAUUUUCAGCCCAUAUGACAUGGAAGAAGAGUUAGAAGGGGAAUCUGACUGCUUGGAUCAGGGACUGUCUGGCUGGUGGAACUUGAAUAGAUGUACAGUGCACCACUUUGAGGAUCAAGUCUGACCCUGCCUUUAAAUUUGGAUUCGAAGUACUUAGAUUUUCUGGAAUCCCAUUCUACAAUCUUCUGGUCGAAAGUAUAAAACCAG
rnacentral:antisense_RNA from 1 species